GACGAACGCUGGCGGCGUGCUUAACACAUGCAAGUCGAACGGAAAGGCCCUGCUUUUGUGGGGUGCUCGAGUGGCGAACGGGUGAGUAACACGUGAGUAACCUGCCCUUGACUUUGGGAUAACUUCAGGAAACUGGGGCUAAUACCGGAUAGGAGCUCCUGCUGCAUGGUGGGGGUUGGAAAGUUUCGGCGGUUGGGGAUGGACUCGCGGCUUAUCAGCUUGUUGGUGGGGUAGUGGCUUACCAAGGCUUUGACGGGUAGCCGGCCUGAGAGGGUGACCGGCCACAUUGGGACUGAGAUACGGCCCAGACUCCUACGGGAGGCAGCAGUGGGGAAUAUUGCACAAGGGGCGGAAGCCUGAUGCAGCAACGCCGCGUGCGGGAUGACGGCCUUCGGGUUGUAAACCGCUUUCGCCUGUGACGAAGCGUGAGGGACGGUAAUGGGUAAAGAAACACCGGCUAACUACGU
rnacentral:rRNA from 1 species